rnacentral:rRNA from 1 species
CACGUAGGGCGCAAGCGUUGUCCGGAAUUAUUGGGCGUAAAGAGCUCGUAGGCGGUCUGUUGCGUCCGCUGUGAAAACUCGGGGCUUAACCCCGAGCCUGCAGUGGAUACGGGCAGACUAGAGGUAGGUAGGGGAGAAUGGAAUUCCCGGUGUAGCGGUGAAAUGCGCAGAUAUCGGGAGGAACACCGGUGGCGAAGGCGGUUCUUGCU